AGAGCGAACGCUGGCGGCAGGCCUAAUACAUGCAAGUCGAACGGACCCUUCGGGGUUAGUGGCGGACGGGUGAGUAACACGUGGGAACGUGCCCUUUGGUUCGGAACAACUCAGGGAAACUUGAGCUAAUACCGAAUACGCCCUUACGGGGAAAGAUUUAUUGCCGAAGGAACGGCCCGCGUCCGAUUAGCUAGUUGGUGAGGUAAUGGCUCACCAAGGCUACGAUCGGUAGCUGGUCUGAGAGGAUGACCAGCAUCACUGGGACUGAGACACGGCCCAGACUCCUACGGGAGGCAGCAGUGGGGAAUAUUGGACAAUGGGCGAAAGCCUGAUCCAGCCAUGCCGCGUGGAUGAUGAAGGCCUUAGGGUUGUAAAGUCCUUUUAACGGGGAAGAUAAUGACGGUACCCGUAGAAUAAGCCCCGGCUAACUUCGCGCCAGCAGCCGC
rnacentral:rRNA from 1 species